CAAGGGGUGAACUCAACACUUAUUUCCAAUGAUUAUUGAUAUGCACAUAUCUUUAUUGGCUAUUGGUUUCUCUGACCAAUUUUUGUAAUCUGGUUCUAGUUAAGUAAUAUAAAAUUCUGUAUAGCCUCACCUCAGAUUGUAAUAUAUUAAGUUUCUUUAACAGUCUAGAAGCACGAUGGUUUGAAAAUGGUCCUGGAACUUCCUUUGUCAACCUAAGCUACUUGCCUGCAAUCUUGAACUCAUCUUGUCUCCACAAGCAUUCUUACCUUGCUGAUGUGUCAAGGCAGAAUACUGGUACACAUAUUUGCAAGGUGUGGCUGGACCAAAUUGAAUACUGUCAUGUUAAUACAAGAUUGGCACAUGUUACUUGUGGUCAUUUUGUUAAGACAACUGCAAGUGGUUCUGUUGAAUGUGAAUUUUGUUGCUGCAACUGUGAGACGAAAACUAGAUGCACUUUCCAUGUAAAAAUAAUUGUGGCUGAUGAUAGUGGUAAAGUCUUUGCAUGGUGUAUUGGUCAAAAUGCGAUUGAACUACUGCAAAUAUCUCCAGAUGAAUUCUAUGAAUUGCCUGAGGAGGAACAAGUUAUUUACCCAUGUUCGCUGGAGAACGAAAGAUACAUGAUAGCAAUUGUGAACUGUGGUCAGCAGGAAACCAUCUUCAAGGAAUGUGUGACUGCAGAAAAUGAGAUGGUAUACUUCAUCUUCGUUUCAAAUUUCUGAUUUGCUUAUUGAAUUGCAAUAAAAAUCCCAACCUUGUAUUUUAUUUUAUUGUAUAUUUUAUUUUUU